AAAAUUCAGGCUCAGGUUGUCCAAACAAGUGGCAGAGCCAGGCGGGGUUUGUUUCCAGGUCUUUCUGAUCCCAAAGCACCUUCCCCUGAGCUCCCCUCUCCCUGAGCAUCAGUGCCCACUGAGACCAGUUACUGUCACACCUGCUGGGUUACCUGGGGCCAGUCACUCCUGCCCAGGUUUCCCUUUCUCCGCACAUUCCCUGCCUCACUAACCCUCGUGUACGCCUGCUCUUACACAGUCCUGGGAGGAAGAUGCUGCGGAGGAAGCUCAGGGCAGUUAGUAGUUUCCAAAGGUCCUGCAGACACUAAGGGGCAGAUCCCAGAACUUCAGCCCAGGCUGUGUGAGCCCAGGGGCCGAGCACUUCACCAGGACACUCGCCUGCCUCCCGAGCCCUAACUUGUUGGUCCUUCCCUGAACCGGAUUCUCCUCUGAGCUCAGAUCUAGAAGUUGCCUGUGAGAAGAGUGCAGGUGCUAAGCGCAAAGCUUCAGCCAGUCAGAUGCCCAGUUUUAGUUGAAAAGUGAUACUUUUUACAUUCUCUCCAAGCCUUUGCCCUAAGCAAGAAAUCCGUUUACCUUUUUUUAAACCAGAAUAAUUAAAAAAAAAUUCAUAUCAGGUUUUCUGUCACUUGUCAGAUAUCAUGAGGAAGGUUAAACAUUUUGGAGAAAGCAGCCUUUCCGAUUAAUGUGCUAAAUGUUUCUAAAUAUGUCAGUUGAACCUUUUUACCUCUCCCAUUUAAAACUUCAAUCAGCCUUACCCUCGGUUGUCACUGAUUUAAUGCCUAUGUUUGCUUAGUAUUUUCUCAGAUCUGGGAAAAAGCAGACCUUGAGAGCUAAAUUGCCUCUAGGUAGGUUCUUGAUAUCUGGGCAGGACACCUAAGGAAUGCAUAGCAGUGUAGUAUCAAUCUCUAUAGAGCCACACUAGUUUAACUUCUUAGACUUUAUUACAAUAACAAAGUGAUUAUUUUAACAAUAAAAGCAGAGUGCCUAUAGGCAAGAGGAUGGUCCUGUCUCAGGCCACGCCCCCUCCCGAAUGGUUCAGACCUGUGAUGACGACAACGGUCCUCUAGAAUGUAGCAUCUAUCCACUAGGUGUCAUUAUUUACCAAUUCUGGGUUGUUCUCUGUGCACUUGACAGUUGAGAACAAAGCUAGAGACAAGAAUAUGAGAUGAAUCAAAAGGGACUGUGGGAAGGGCACUGUGGCUGGAAUGCAUCUUGUGGUGGGAGGGCUUUCAAAGACAAGUGAGAUUUUUCUGAUCAGGUCCCCAGGAAAGAGUCAGAACUUGGGUUCUUCGAGUGGCCCUGGCUUCCCUGCAUGUGCUAGAAUCAGGUUCGUAUCUCCAAGGCUAAGGAGUCCUUCCUUCAGACACAGAGCCCUCCUGUGCCCAGCUGCCCUGCGCUUCCCCUCUGGCCUGGCUCACGUGUCUUGGGGGCAUAGGAAACCACGGUAGAGAGCCAAGUAAGCAAGUGCUCCUGCCCAGACUGAAGGUCUCCAGAGACCCAGAGUUUAGGAUACAAAUUCAAGAAGCCGUGGGGCUGUAAGACUAGGAGAUGAGCUUGCAUAGCACCUGGUAAGAGGCACCUGACGG